rnacentral:rRNA from 1 species
GACGAACGCUGGCGGCAUGCCUAACACAUGCAAGUCUAGGGGUAGCAAUACCACUGGCGCACGGGUGAGUAACACGUAGGUUAUCUGCCCCCAUCACAGACAUAACCCCGGGAAACCGGGGCUAAUAUCUGAUGAGGUCGCGAGAUCAAAGCUUCGGCGGAUGGGGAUGAGCCUGCGGCUGAUUAGCUAGUUGGUGAGGUAAAGGCUCACCAAGGCGACGAUCCGUAGCUGGUCUGAGAGGACGACCAGCCACACUGGAACUGAGACACGGUCCAGACUCCUACGGGAGGCAGCAGUGGGGAAUUUUGGACAAUGGGGGCAACCCUGAUCCAGCCAUUCCGCGUGAGUGAAGAAGGCCUUCGGGUUGUAAAGCUCUUUCUAGCAGGAACGAAA